rnacentral:rRNA from 1 species
GAUCCUAGCUCAGAUUGAACGCUGGCGGCAGGCUUAACACAUGCAAGUCGAGCGGGGAAGAGUAGCUUGCUACUUGACCUAGCGGCGGACGGGUGAGUAAUGCUUAGGAAUCUGCCUAUUAGUGGGGGACAACAUCUCGAAAGGGAUGCUAAUACCGCAUACGUCCUACGGGAGAAAGCAGGGGACCUUCGGGCCUUGCGCUAAUAGAUGAGCCUAAGUCGGAUUAGCUAGUUGGUGGGUAAAGG